rnacentral:rRNA from 1 species
GGGAACGUUAAGGGCGUCGAGCGGCGGACGGGUGAGUAAUGCCUAGGAAAUUGCCCUGAUGUGGGGGAUAACCAUUGGAAACGAUGGCUAAUACCGCAUAAUGCCUACGGGCCAAAGAGGGGGACCUUCGGGCCUCUCGCGUCAGGAUAUGCCUAGGUGGGAUUAGCUAGUUGGUGAGGUAAUGGCUCACCAAGGCGACGAUCCCUAGCUGGUCUGAGAGGAUGAUCAGCCACACUGGAACUGAGACACGGUCCAGACUCCUACGGGAGGCAGCAGUGGGGAAUAUUGCACAAUGGGCGCAAGCCUGAUGCAGCCAUGCCGCGUGUGUGAAGAAGGCCUUCGGGUUGUAAAGCACUUUCAGUCGUGAGGAAGGUGGUAGUGUUAAUAGCACUAUCAUUUGACGUUAGCGACAGAAGAAGCACCGGCUAACUCCGUGCCAGCAGCCGCGGUAAUACGGAGGGUGCGAGCGUUAAUCGGAAUUACUGGGCGUAAAGCGCAUGCAGGUGGUUUGUUAAGUCAGAUGUGAAAGCCCGGGGCUCAACCUCGGAAUAGCAUUUGAAACUGGCAGACUAGAGUACUGUAGAGGGGGGUAGAAUUUCAGGUGUAGCGGUGAAAUGCGUAGAGAUCUGAAGGAAUACCGGUGGCGAAGGCGGCCCCCUGGACAGAUACUGACACUCAGAUGCGAAAGCGUGGGGAGCAAACAGGAUUAGAUACCCUGGUAGUCCACGCCGUAAACGAUGUCUACUUGGAGGUUGUGGCCUUGAGCCGUGGCUUUCGGAGCUAACGCGUUAAGUAGACCGCCUGGGGAGUACGGUCGCAAGAUUAAAACUCAAAUGAAUUGACGGGGGCCCGCACAAGCGGUGGGAGCAUGUGGUUUAAUUCGAUGCAACGCGAAGAAACCUUACCUACUCUUGACAUCCAGAGAACUUUCCAGAGAUGGAUUGGUGCCUUCGGGAACUCUGAAACAGGUGCUGCAUGGCUGUCGUCAGCUCGUG